GUGCAGCCAAUUAAGCCAAAUGUGCUCUCUGCCCCGUGGGAUCCGGUGUGCAAUAGUUGCAGACAGCAAGCAGCCACCUCAGUAGUGUAUGUAGCCUGUGGCUUGUAUGGGCUGUGAUAAAGGACCUUGGAGUCAGUC